GUAAAUGCAUAAAGGAAAUCUAUGCUACUAUGCCCAUAAUCAUGUAUAAUGAAUGCAUGCAUCAUAUAGUAAAGGUUUACUAUCAUGCUAACGAAUUCAAUCCAUGUUCGAAUAAUAAUGCUCAAUGACAUUGUUCACUGUUCUUUUACCCAAUCUGUAGCGAAGCCCUUGGGUUCGCCAAUAACUCACCUUUCAAUCCCAAAGUGGGGAGGGAACUCCAAGUGCUCCCAAGCCCGGGACCAUCUGCGGACCUCCAUGUGGUCCGGAUGUCACGCCCCGGGACCCAGCAGAAGCCCGCCCGGCACAUGCCCAGACCCGCCAUACGUCUAAAACAUAUAAGGCGUCUAAAAACAACAAUAAUAAAAGCAAUAAUAAAAGAUAUCUAGGAGUAUCAGAGCAUAAUAAAUGUCUAAAUGCUACAACGAGGGAUAAGGAUAAAACUGUAAAUCCACUAAAUAAAACAUAAAGUGAUGCGAGGAAAUCCCAGAUACAAGUGCUAUAGGUAGAUACAUAGGUGGUCUCUAUACUUGGAUACAAAACCUCUCACUCUCUCAACUACAAAAAGAAAGAGUAAACCACCUAGGCAAAGUACCACUCCUCGCUAGCUAGCUAAGCGAUCCCCUUGCCG
rnacentral:lncRNA from 1 species